UCUGGCUCCGUUCCGGGGUCCGAGUUGUAAUUUGUAGAGGAUGCUUCGGGCGCGGCACCGGUCUAAGUCCCUUGGAACAGGGCGUCAUAGAGGGUGAGGAUCCCGUAUGUGACCGGCGACCAAGUCCGUGUGAAGCCCCUUCGACGAGUCGAGUUGUUUGGGAAUGCAGCUCAAAAUGGGUGGUAAAUUUCAUCUAAAGCUAAAUACCGGCCAGAGACCGAUAGCGCACAAGUAGAGUGAUCGAAAGAUGAAAAGCACUUUGGAAAGAGAGUCAAAAAGUACGUGAAAUUGUUGAAAGGGAAGCGCUUGUAACCAGACCUGCCGUCGGGUGCUCAGCGGGCACUUGUGCCCGCCUAUUCACCCGCGAUCAGGCCAGCAUCGGUUUGGGCGGCCGGAUAAAGACUCGAGGAAUGUAGCUUCGCUUCGGGGAAGUGUUAUAGCCUCGGGUGCAAUACGGCCAGCCGGGACCGAGGACCGCGCUUCGGCUAGGAUGCUGGCGUAAUGGUUGCAAGCGACCCGUCUUGAAACACGGACCAAGGAGUCUAACAUCUAUGCGAGUGUUUGGGUGUCAAACCCAUGCGCGGAAUGAAAGUGAACGGAGGUGGGAACCCUCAAAAGGGCGCACCAUCGACCGAUCCGGAAGUUUACGGAUGGAUUUGAGUAUGAGCAUAGCUGUUGGGACCCGAAAGAUGGUGAACUAUGCCUGAAUAGGGUGAAGCCAGAGGAAACUCUGGUGGAGGCUCGCAGCGGUUCUGACGUGCAAAUCGAUCGUCAAAUUUGGGUAUAGGGGCGAAAGACUAAUCGAACCAUCUAGUAGCUGGUUCCUGCCGAAGUUUCGUAAGUCCUCCCGAGGAGCUCCCCUAAUAUAAGCCUAUACUAACAAUCUCAAUAGCCUCAGGAUAGCAGUAACGUUUUCAGUUUUAUGAGGUAAAGCGAAUGAUUAGAAGCCUUGGGGAUGAAACAUCCUUAACUUAUUCUCAAACUUUAAAUAUGUAAGAAGUCCUUGUUACUUAGUUGAACGUGGACAUUUGAAUGCACCGUUACUAGUGGGCCAUUUUUGGUAAGCAGAACUGGCGAUGCGGGAUGAACCGAACGUGGGGUUAAGGUGCCGGAAUGUACGCUCAUCAGACACCAGGGGGGAGACUUGUGGUGUCGGGCUGGAGGGGGGGGAGAGGCCCCCUCCAGCGUUAGUCUGCUCAGGGCGAGGUCUUUGACCUGUUAGGGGUCGGUGGUCGCUCCGCGAUGGCCUACCCUCCGCUGUCCCCUCCUGCGGGGGCAGCUCACAGAUCAAGCAAAGGCCGGCGGCAGGAUGCCGUUGGAGAUAUGAUCGGCCCCUGGAGG
rnacentral:rRNA from 1 species